rnacentral:rRNA from 1 species
UGGGGAAUAUUGCACAAUGGGCGCAAGCCUGAUGCAGCCAUGCCGCGUGUAUGAAGAAGGCCUUCGGGUCGUAAAGUACUUUCAGCGGGGAGGAAGGGAGUAAAGUUAAUACCUUUGCUCAUUGACGUUACCCGCAGAAGAAGCACCGGCUAACUCCGUGCCAGCAGCCGCGGUAAUACGGAGGGUGCAAGCGUUAAUCGGAAUUACUGGGCGUAAAGCGCACGCAGGCGGUUUGUUAAGUCAGAUGUGAAAUCCUCGGGCUCAACCUGGGAACUGCAUCUGAUACUGGCAAGCUUGAGUCUCGUAGAGGGGGGUAGAAUUCCAGGUGUAGCGGUGAAAUGCGUAGAGAUCUGGAGGAAUACCGGUGGCGAAGGCGGCCCCCUGGACGAAGACUGACGCUCAGGUGCGAAAGCGUGGGGAGCAAACAGG